rnacentral:lncRNA from 1 species
GCUGAGCCUUGGAGUUCCUGGGUUUGCCGGUUUCCCCGUCUGGCAGUGCUGGGGGCUUUGAGCCAGCAACCUCAAAGAACGCCCACGCCAGGGAGGCCAGUGUGCACGCAGGUAUUGAUGUUGGCUUUCCACGGGUGCAGUGAGCUGCGUGAUUGAUACCCAUUUCCCCAUAAAACAGCCAAGCCAGGGAGGCCAGCAUGCACACAGGUACCAGCACAUCCGGGCACUUUUUCCAUGGUCCG